rnacentral:rRNA from 1 species
AUACGGAGGGUCCAAGCGUUAUCCGGAAUCAUUGGGUUUAAAGGGUCCGUAGGCGGAUAAUUAAGUCAGAGUUGAAAUCCCACAGCUCAACUGUGGAACUGCCUUUGAUACUGGUUAUCUUGAAUUAUAGUGAAGUAGAUAGAAUAUGUAGUGUAGCGGUGAAAUGCAUAGAUAUUACAUAGAAUACCGAUUGCGAAGGCAGUCUACUAACUAUAUAUUGACGCUGAUGGACGAAAGCGUGGGGAGCGAACAGGAUUAGAAACCAUAGUAGUCC